GAGUGCAGCUGUGUUAGUUUCUACUUCUGCCUUAAUCUAGCCCAUCCAAGCCUUUGACCCAGCCCUGCUUUUGUCUUCCCUGACUCCAGGUUUGGAUUCUGAAAACCAGUAACUGCUGGGGGGGGAGGAAGAUAUAUGACCCUGUAAAAACACACGGUGAAAGAUUGAGACCAAACAUCUGCUGCCUACUUGUGCAAAAUUUCAGGUGGCUAAUAAGAUGGAAAGCUGGGAAACCACAGAGCACAGGAAAGGAGAUAAAUGGGGAACAGCAAGAGUGUGCAGAGCUGUAUGGGUGAAUGGUAGCAGCUAUUCAAAGUCAGCAGUAGCUCUCUAGAAUCAGCAGAAGGAAAAAGUAGCAGCAAUAGUUGGAGGGUGACCCGAAGCACAGAAUGGCCGUGAGAAGAGGGUAAGAAUGAGAACCUUGAAUACUGUGUGAAUGACUGAAGAGAAACCAACAACAGCAUGCAGACCCAGUCAUCCCAUAAGGCUGUCCAGGAAAAGCCGAUGCACAUAAUCCAUGGGAAAAGGAGUGCAAUGUACUUAUCUGUUGUCCCAUGGAAAAUCCUUCUACUGAUCAUGUCUGGUAGGUGCAGCAACAGAAACGAUGGGCAGAUAACGGGAAACUCUUGCUAUCAGGGCUAGUAUUUUCAAAGGGGCUUAAAGAAGUUAGGUACACAACUUAUAUUGUAAUUUGAUGGGAACUGAGCACCUUACUCCCAUGGACCCCUUUGAAAAUCUCAGUCCAAUUAUAUACAAUGUAAUCAAUGAAAGCCCCUCCUGGUGGUAUACAGAUCAGCUGUGCAGUCAGCACAUCCAGCUAUGCUCUGGGAUAUCCAUGUUCCAGACUGGAAUAUAACUUAUCCCCAAAAUAUGGAGAUGAGCACCACUACUUUUUAUUAGCAAUAGUAACUUGCUUUUUGAGAGUGGGGGAAGGUAUGAUAUGGAGGAGCUGGGGUGAGCAUAAAUACACAAUAAAAGGACUCAAGGGCAUUGGUGCAAAGUCAAAAUUACUCAAAUGGCAGGGUUAUGAAUUCAAAGCAGAGCUCGGUCUAGAGAGAAUCUGGGACAGCUAGUAGUGAACCAAAUCUCAAUCAAUCACUUGUGCUGCCUGCAACCUCAAAAACCAUUGUUUAAACAACUCUUUUAUUUGAAAACUGCUGUAAAAGCCCCAAAUA